rnacentral:rRNA from 1 species
GCUCAGGACGAACGCUGGCGGCGUGCCUAACACAUGCAAGUCGAGCGGGGAUCACUUGACGAUUAUCUGAAGGUGGAUCCUAGCGGCGGACGGGUGAGUAANCGCGUAGUGCAACCCUGCCCCUGUACAGGGUGGACAACACCGGGAAACCGGUGCUAAUACCGCAUAACAUACAGCCAUCGCAUGGUGGUUGUAUCAAAGGGGAAAUCCAGUACAGGAUGGGCCUGCGUCCGAUUAGCUAGUUGGUAAGGUAAUGGCUUACCAAGGCGACGAUCGGUAGCCGAACUGAGAGGUUGAUCGGCCACAUUGGGACUGAGACACGGCCCAGACUCCUACGGGAGGCAGCAGUGGGGAAUAUUGCGCAAUGGGGGGAACCCUGACGCAGCAACGCCGCGUGAAGGAUGAAGGCCUUCGGGUUGUAAACUUCUUUGAUUGGGGAAGAAGAAAGUGACGGUACCCAAAAAACAAGCCACGGCUAACUACGUGCCAGCAGCCGCGGUAAUACGUAGGUGGCGAGCGUUGUCCGGAAUUACUGGGUGUAAAGGGCGUGUAGGCGGGGCGGCAAGUCAGAUGUGAAAUUUCGGGGCUCAACCCCGAAGGUGCAUCUGAAACUGCUGUUCUUGAGUGUCGGAGAGGAAAGUGGAAUUCCCAGUGUAGCGGUGAAAUGCGUAGAGAUUGGGAGGAACACCAGUGGCGAAGGCGGCUUUCUGGACGACAACUGACGCUGAGGCGCGAAAGCGUGGGGAGCGAACAGGAUUAGAUACCCUGGUAGUCCACGCCGUAAACGAUGGAUACUAGGUGUAGGGGGUAUCGAACCCUUCUGUGCCGGAGUUAA